GAGUCUAAUCGAAAUUAUGCUCUGCCUCCCAUCGAUCACUGCCUUCUUCCUCCUCAACCGUAGCUAACGCUGUCGUUCGCAUGGGUCGCCAUCACUGAUGUGCCCGCUGCUGGUCUAUUUGCCUUAGCUAUAAGUUCUUUCCAUGUUUCGUCGCUGUUCAUCUGCCUCUGUCACUACUUCAAUGGCAGUCCUUCCUUCUUCACUAUUCGAAGUUGCUUUAUCCUUCCUCAGUCCGUGCAUGUUGGUUCAUCUAAGGACAUGUGAAAGAAGAGGAUCUUGAUAGAAACUAAAGAAAGAAUAUUUUGGAAAUUUGAAACUGCAGCAAGU